rnacentral:rRNA from 1 species
GUGCCAGCCGCCGCGGUAAUACAGAGGUCCCAAGCGUUGUUCGGAUUCACUGGGCGUAAAGGGUGCGUAGGUGGUAGAUUAAGUCGGGUGUGAAAUCUCCGGGCUCAACCCGGAGCGUGCGCCCGAAACUGAUUUGCUAGAGGAUAGGAGGGGAGACUGGAAUUCUCGGUGUAGCAGUGAAAUGCGUAGAUAUCGAGAGGAACACCGGUGGCGAAGGCGAGUCUCUGGACUAUUCCUGACACUGAAUCACGAAAGCCGGGGGAGCAAACAGGAUUAGAAACCCCAGUAGUCC